CCAUAAAAUAAUAAGGUUUUGUACCAUCUAAGAGUCUCAAUAUUUCUAUGGUUUCAACUGUUGAUGAACACAGAAAAAUUGAGCUUCUUAUAACAAGAGUAGUAUCAAGAAUUUUUUUCUUGUAACAACUACUGUCCCCAUCGGCAAUCAUUUUGCUGUAUCAAUUUGUACAUAGGUAAACUGGAACAAAAUCCUUCAGCUUCUAUGGCUGUCGAAGAUGAAUUUCAAUUUUCAUAGCGUGUAUGCACUGUUGUUGUUACAUACUUCAUUGUGUACCUACUCUUUUAUUUUGAAAUCAUUGUAAAAAAUUGUCUUUCUUUCUUUAUACAGUGAAAAUGAAAAACAAGGGACAUUCAUACCAUUUCGAAAUUCUACACAUAAUGCGUACGAAAACUAAUUUCGACUGAAAACCUAUUUUUAUUUCCUUCACCAAACGCAUAUUAGAUCAAUUUUAUUCAAAAAUAACGGAGUGACUAGAAUGUUCUUUUAGAGAAAUUGCUGAAUACAAACAAUUCGGAAUGUAUCCAAAGAUAUUUCCCUGCAUAAAAGGUUCAAUUCAAUACACAUAAACAAAAUUAUAAGGAGAACUGCACAGGACAAAUAGAUAUGAAAACUUCUAGUAAUACCUCAACCCGAAAUUGAGAAUACCAUUCUAGGAAUUUCAGUUUGAAAAUGGUUAUUUCAAUGUCGGGUAUAUUCUUCAUUUCUACAUAAAAUCAAUGAGUACCUAUGCAAUGCUGAACCUACCUAGAAACUGUCAAAUUGUCCAGCAAUGAAAUAAUACGGUACACAAAAGAGUACCGAAUAACCUUUAUUUACAACUGAUGUUUAUCUGAUGUGACAAUGAAAUCUUGAAAUAACUCUAAUAAAUUUACACGAAAUCACCUCUUGUUAACUUUUAAAGUAUUAUUCUCAAGCAGUAGCACAAUACCGAAUCUUAGAUAGGUUCUGAACUACCCAAAUUUUGUAUUAUAUGAAAUAUGUUAAAAACAAGGUAAUUUGCCAGCCAUCAUUACAUCCGAAUCGAUUUUUUCAAUAACAGAUAUCUACUUUUUCUCAAACUUACGAACCUUCGGUCCGAAAUAAUUAAUUGACUAUUGCAUCCAAUCCGAAACCUUCCAUGAGGAAUACAUUUUUUCAUUCG